UGAGAUAGCCUUUAUUUGUCAGUUGCAGGUCUUUUGCCCACAACCGCAACCUGAUUGGAAACACCUGCAGUAGGAAGGACCUAUAAAGACAGCAGCAUGUCCUGAACACUUGACUCAGAUGCACACUGGUGUUUGGUUGGAGUAGCUGCUGUGUGUGGACUUGUGGAAGUGUGAGUGCUCUGGAGCCACAGUUGACAGGGCACGUCUGCAUGCACAGUCUAGCUGGAGGGUUUGUGAGGACACAGUGAGUGCAGCUGCAGCAGUCAUGGCUGCGUGGUUCCUAAUUGCAAGGUUUUUACUACUUUAUGUUUUGAAUGAUGUGGACUACUCCUCAGCCAUUCCAAGAGCCACAAGUCCUGUGCAGCCUAGAGUAUGGCAGGGUGGAAGAGGGGAACACGAUGUGUACGGAAACCCUCGUCCUUUCCAGUACAUGAGGGCUCUGAGGCCGACGGAUCCAAAGAUCUACCCUAAUGUGCGUGAUCGGGUCAAAGUCGAAUCCCCGAGAUCGUAUCAGCCACGCUCUAAUAUUCCCACCCACAGAUCCAUGGAAACAUCUCCGCUCCAGCCUCGAGCACACAGAAACCACCUUGUGGCCAAGCCCAGGAGCUUUGACUUAGCCCUGAGGAUCCCUUUUGCUCAUUCUCGUGAUGGUGCUAAUCCUCCUCGGUACGGACCGAGUGGCCUUAUUAUUGACAACAGUUUUAAUAAUCCCGCAGACAGCAUGGCCAUGAUGCUUCCAAGCUGGGCUACCAGUUCAGCUUAUCUGUUCCCUUUUCACGUGGUUCUCCACGCCACCCAGGUGGCCACGAACAUCACGGUGGGCAUCAACACAGGCCUGAGGAAGGCUAUUUGGGUCAUCAAAGAGAGCAGGUUCAUGUGCCAGUUCGUCCAAGGCCAUACCCCGACGAGCAUCAUCGUGAGCAUGAUCGCGAGCAUCGUGAUGAAGGCCGCCCUGGGCGGGAGUUUGCAUUUCCAGAGCCAGAUGGACCAGAAAACCCAUCAAGGCCGCGCCAUCCUCAAAGAUAUGUCGGCCCUUACAGUGGAUACUACAACUCCCAGAUGAAGCCUACGUGGAAUGACUACUGGUGGCAUUACCGUGGACCUCACUGGGGUCAUAUAAAGCAUCCAUCUUCUGACCCUUGGCCAAAUUUCCAUUGGUCAGCUUCAGACUGACAUGGAUGGAAGAGACAAGCCAAACUCGCAGGGCACAGCUUUACAGUGCAACAAGGAUGAUCUCCUGUAUUUAUCUGAAAUAAAGUGUGAAAGCUCUCCUGCAGUUUCUCUUGUCUUCUGUCAGGUUGAAAGAAUAGCUGAACACUUGGCUUGCGGUUAAUCUUUCAAGAGCUAAUCAAGAUUCAUGUGAGUCAUGUGCUUGUAAGCAAGAAGCAACAAGUCUAUGCCCAAAUGUUAGAAAGCCACUGACUCUGCAGCUCAUUAAAU
ensembl:lncRNA